AUACGGAGGAUGCAAGCGUUAUCCGGAUUUAUUGGGUUUAAAGGGUGCGUAGGCUGUGCAGCAAGUCAGAGGUGAAAGCCCGGCGCCUAACGCCGGAACUGCCUUUGAUACUGUUGCGCUGGAAUACGGAUGCCGUGGGAGGAAUGAGUAGUGUAGCGGUGAAAUGCAUAGAUAUUACUCAGAACACCGAUUGCGAAGGCAUCUCACGAAUCCGUCAUUGACGCUGAGGCACGAAAGCGUGGGGAUCGAACAGGAUUAGAUACCCUGGUAGUCCACGCAGUAAACGAUGAUGACUAACCGUCGGCGAUACACAGUCGGUGGCCAAGCGAAAGCGAUAAGUCAUCCACCUGGGGAGUACGUUCGCAAGAAUGAAACUCAAAGGAAUUGACGGGG
rnacentral:rRNA from 1 species